CGAGGGCUAUCUGUAACAGCACGCGCCACACACUCCGCCCACCAAGCAUUCGCACGCGCCGCACGCACAGUACGACAGUUCGGUGACGCCAAGCAGUAGCCUAACGAGCACGUCCACGACACAAACCUCCACAGCCAAAGUAGCCACAACCACCACAUCGCACGCAGCAGCAGCAGCAGCAGCAGCAGCGGCAGCAGC